rnacentral:rRNA from 1 species
AGAGUUUGAUCCUGGCUCAGAUUGAACGCUAGCGGCAUGCUUAACACAUGCAAGUCGAACGGCAGCGCGGGGAGCUUGCUCCCUGGCGGCGAGUGGCGAACGGGUGAGUAACGCGUAGGAAUCUGCCCUAUAGUGGGGGACAACCCGGGGAAACCCGGGCUAAUACCGCAUAAUCUCUACGGAGCAAAGUGGGGGACCUUCGGGCCUCACGCUAUAGGAUGAGCCUGCGUCAGAUUAGCUUGUUGGUAGGGUAAUGGCCUACCAAGGCAACGAUCUGUAGCUGGUCUGAGAGGAUGAUCAGCCACACUGGGACUGAGACACGGCCCAGACUCCUACGGGAGGCAGCAGUGGGGAAUAUUGGACAAUGGGGGAAACCCUGAUCCAGCAAUGCCGCGUGUGUGAAGAAGGCUUUCGGGUUGUAAAGCACUUUCAGUGGGGAAGAAAUUCUUAAGGUUAAUAGCCUUGAGCGUUGACGUUACCCACAGAAGAAGCACUGGCUAACUCUGUGCCAGCAGCCGCGGUAAUA